AUUGAAUGCUGGCGGCAGGCUUAACACAUGCAAGUCGAGCGGGGUGAGGUACUUCGGUACUGAUCCUAGCGGCGGACGGGUGAGUAAUGCUUAGGAAUCUGCCAUUUAGUGGGGGACAACAUUCCGAAAGGAAUGCUAAUACCGCAUACGUCCUACGGGAGAAAGCAGGGGAUCUUCGGACCUUGCGCUAAAUGAUGAGCCUAAGUCGGAUUAGCUAGUUGGUGGGGUAAAGGCCUACCAAGGCGACGAUCUGUAGCGGGUCUGAGAGGAUGAUCCGCCACACUGGGACUGAGACACGGCCCAGACUCCUACGGGAGGCAGCAGUGGGGAAUAUUGGACAAUGGGCGGAAGCCUGAUCCAGCCAUGCCGCGUGUGUGAAGAAGGCCUUUUGGUUGUAAAGCACUUUAAGCGAGGAGGAGGCUACCUGGAUUAAUACUCUGGGAUAGUGGACGUUACUCGCAGAAUAAGCACCGGCUAACUCUGUGCCAGCCGCCGCUGUAAUAC
rnacentral:rRNA from 1 species